rnacentral:ncRNA from 1 species
UUUUUUUUUAUUAUUUAAAGAAAAAAUAUUAAAGAUGGCUUAAUUAAUUAAUUAAAUUAUUAAUUAAUUAAAUAUAAUUUAUAUAUAUAUAUAUAUAUAUUAAAUAUUUAAUAUAUUAAUAUUUAUAUUAAUACAUUAACUUAUUGAGAAAAUUAAGAUUAAUUAUAUUAAUUUAUUGUAAUUUUUAAGAAUAUUAAUUGUUGAAUUUCCAAUUAAGGUUUUAAUAUUAAUAUUUUAAAAAAAAAAAAAAAAAUUAAUAUUAAAAUUUUUAAAAAAAAAAAAAAAAAAAAAAAAAAAUUCUAUUUAUAAAAAUAUACAUAUAAAUAAAUUUUUUAUGGUUUAAAAAUUUUAUUAAUAAUUUAUUUUACAUAUAAAUUUUAGUGUUAUAAAUAACUUAUUUUAAAAAUAAUUUAUUUAUUUUUGUAGUAAUUAAUAUUAAAUAAUUUAAGAAAUUAAGAUUUAGUAAUAUUAAAAUUAAUAACAAAUUUUGUGCCAGCAGUUGCGGUUACACAAAGAUUAAAUUAAAUUUUAUUAGUAAUUAAUAAAUAAAUUGAUAAAUAAUAAAAAUUUUAAAUUAUUAGGUGAAAUUUUAAUUUAAUAAAAUAUUAUAGUAUUAAUUAUGAUUUAAUAAAUUUUAUAAAAAACUAGGAUUAGAUACCCUAUUAUUAAAAUUUAAAAUUAAAUUACUAAAAUAGUAAAUAAUUAUUUAUUGAAACUUAAAUAAUUUGGCGGUAUUUUAGUUCAUUUAGAGGAAUCUGUUUAAUAAUUGAUAAUCCACGAAUAAAUUUACUUAAUUUACAAUUUUGUAUAUCGUUGUUAAAAAAAUAUUUUUUAAUAAAAAUAAUAUUUAAAAAUUUUUAUAAUAAAUUAAAUCAGAUCAAGAUGCAGAUUAUAAUUAAGAAUAUAAUGGAUUACAAUAAAUUUAUUUAAAUGAAUAUUAAUUUGUAAAAAUUAAUUGAAAGUGGAUUUAAGUGUAAUUUUAUUUAAUUUAAUAAAAUGAUUAUAAAUUAAAAUAUGUACAUAUUGCCCGUCGCUUUCAUAUAUUAAUAAGUUGAAAUAAGUCGUAACAAAGUAGAGGUACUGGAAAGUGUUUCUAGAAAGAA